AGAGUUUGAUCCUGGCUCAGGAUGAACGCUAGCUACAGGCUUAACACAUGCAAGUCGAGGGGCAGCGGGUUGAAAGCUUGCUUUCAAUGCCGGCGACCGGCGCACGGGUGCGUAACGCGUAUCAAACCUGCCUCAUACUCGGGGAUAGCCUUGCGAAAGUAAGAUUAAUACCCGAUGUUGUUGCUUUCUCGCAUGGGAGAGUAACCAAAGAUUUAUCGGUAUGAGAUGGUGAUGCGUCCGAUUAGGUAGUAGGCGGGGUAACGGCCCACCUAGCCUUCGAUCGGUAGGGGUUCUGAGAGGAAGGUCCCCCACACUGGAACUGAGACACGGUCCAGACUCCUACGGGAGGCAGCAGUGAGGAAUAUUGGUCAAUGGGCGAGAGCCUGAACCAGCCAAGUAGCGUGCAGGAUGACGGCCCUCUGGGUUGUAAACUGCUUUUAGUUGGGAACAAAAAAGGCGACGUGUCGCCUCUGGAGUGUACCAUCAGAAAAAGGACCGGCUAAUUCCGUGCCAGCAGCCGCGGUAAUACGGAAGGUCCAGGCGUUAUCCGGAUUUAUUGGGUUUAAAGGGAGCGUAGGCGGAUUGUUAAGUCAGCGGUUAAAGGGUGUGGCUCAACCAUGCAUUGCCGUUGAAACUGGCGAUCUUGAGUGCAGACAGGGAUGCCGGAAUUCGUGGUGUAGCGGUGAAAUGCUUAGAUAUCACGAAGAACUCCGAUCGCGAAGGCAGGUGUCCGGGCUGCAACUGACGCUGAGGCUCGAAAGUGUGGGUAUCAAACAGGAUUAGAUACCCUGGUAGUCCACACAGUAAACGAUGUAUACUCGCGGUUUGCGAUAGACAGUAAGCCGCCAAGCGAAAGCAUUAAGUAUACCACCUGGGGAGUACGCCGGCAACGGUGAAACUCAAAGGAAUUGACGGGGGCCCG
rnacentral:rRNA from 1 species